rnacentral:lncRNA from 1 species
UCCCUCUCUAUAGAUAGCCCUGCAUGUUAUGGUUAGAUCUUCCCUUUAGCCAACAUGUCAUGAGUGUGUACCUGCAGUAAGGCACUAAAUGUGAAUUCUCAAAUAUUAAGCAAUACAACAAGUAUAGAUACUUGCCCUCCCCAGCGUAGUUAAUUGAAAGGCUUCAUGCAACAUUGUUGUGAAAUCAGGUGAUCUUGUGCAUCCCUAAACUCAAUUUGUUCUUGAUGAAGCUUUCCUUGCCCAAUGCCUUGGUGAAGAUAUCAACCACUUGGUCCUCUAUUUUACAGUAUCUCAUCACCAUAUUCUUCUUAUCAACAUUGUCUCUGAGAAAGUGAUGCCUCACAUCUAUAUGUUUGGUCCUCUUAUGCUAGACAAGAUUCUUGGCCAUGUUCAUUGUGCUUGUAUUGUCGCAUAUGAGAGGAAUAGUAUUUGUGACAACACCAAAAUCUUCGAGCUGCUGUUUGAUCCACAAGAGUUGAGCACAACAUGAUGUAGCAACCACAUACUCAGCCUCAGUAGUUGAUAGAGCCACUGAAUUCUGCCUUAGUUCCCCAUGAGAUUAGUGAUGACCCUAAGAAAUGAGCCAUCCCUGAAGUGCUUUUUCGAUCAAUAAAAAACCAUGCAUAAUCAGUAUCAACAUAUCCAAUUAGAUCAAAGAGUUGUCAGCAGGAUAGAAAAGGACUAGGUUCUGUGUUCCCUUCAAGUAUCUCAGUAUUCGUUUGGCUACCUUCAGGUGUGACUCUUUUGGAGCAGCUUGAAACCUGACACACAUUCCCACGCUGAGGACUAUGUCAGGUCGACUUGCAGUGAGGUAGAGAAGAGAUCUAAUUAUUCCUCUAUACAUAGUCUGAUUCACAUCAGUUCCAGCUUCAUCUUUGUCAAGUUUUGCAUUGGUGCUCAUUUGGGUAUCAAUAAUUUUGGCCUCCAUCAUACUGAACUUCUUGAGAAAUUCCUUGAUGUACUUCUCCUGACAGAUUGACGUACCCUGGGGAGACUGUUUGAUUUGCAACCCUAUGAAAAAGGUUAGUUCCCCCCAUCAUGCUCAUUUCAAAUUCACUGCUCAUCAAGGCUGCAAAUUCUUUACAUAAGGGAUCUGUGGUCGCCCCAAAGAUGAUGUCGUCUACAUAGACCUGCACUACCAGAAGCUCAUUUCCUCUUGAUUUUAAGAAUAAAGUGUUGUCAAUUUUUCCUCUUUUGAACCCAUUUUCAAGAAGAAAUUUUGACAAUCGCUCGUACCAGGCCCUGGGUGCCUACUUCAAGCCAUACAGUGCUUUGUCUAACUUUAGCAUAUGAUUAGGCAGAUCAACAUCUUCAAACCCUGGAGGCUGCUUAACAUAGACUUCCUCCUUCAAAUAACCAUUCAAUAAAGCACUGUUGAUGUCUAUCUGGAAGAUUUUGAAUCCCAUGUAUGUGGCAAAGGAUAUUAGUAUUCUGAUGGCUUCCAUCCUUGCAACAGGUGCAAAUGUCUCAUCAUAAUCGUUUCCUUCCUCUUGACUAUAGCCCUGCACUACCAGUCUUGACUUAUUUCUCGUGAUUGUUCCAUGCUCGUCCAGCUUGGUUCUGAAAACCCACUUGGUCCUUUUGUUGUAUACCCUGUAAGCGUUGCUUGAUGAGGAGUAACCCACAAAAGUUCCCUCAUCACUUCUUCGAUCAAGUUUUCCAAGAUCAUCCUUCCCAUUGUUCAGCACAAAACACUUGCAUCCAAAGACUUUUAGAUGUCUAAGAGAUGGCUUUCUUCCAUUCAAUAGUUCAUAGGGAGUUUUCUUAAGAACUAGCCUGAUUAAGCAUUUGUUACUGACAUAACAAGCUAUAUUCACUGCUUUAGCCUAAAAGCUCAUUGCAAGUCCUGAAUCUAUGAGCAUAGUUUUGGAAAUGUCCACCAGGGUCCUGUUCUUCCUUUCAACGACC